CUUGGAACCCAGAGGAUUCCAGGGUUAUUUUACUCUAAGACCAUUAUUCAACUGUUGAAUUGACAUGAGUUAAGAAAACAUUUUCUUUGAAUCCCUGUGUAGAGAGGUUUUUUGCAUUUAGGAUGAGGUGUUUUCUGAUGACACUGUGCCUGGUGCAUGAGAUCUUGGUGGCAACAGUUAACGGCUUCUACUGUGUUGUGCACACCCAGUAAGAAGACCUUCAAACUGUUCUUACCAUGUGCUGCCUGAAAAGCGAGAGUGGGUUUAAUUAAGGGCAGGUGACAAACUCCUCACUGUAAACGGAGGGGCAGCUGUGCACAUGUCCUUCCCUGCUGCUGCCCUUGAGUGGGGUGCACUGGGGUUAGUAUCAAAAUGCUCCACGUUACAGGUCUAGUUCCUCCUGUCUAGAUGCCGACACCACAGUUGGUUCCCGGCUGUGUGAAUAGAUGCCGUUGGAAGGGAACCUAAAGAGUAGUAAAAUGAAUAAGGAUGAGCUAUUAAACCAGAUCUAAGCUAAUAGUACAUAAUAAUUUGAACUUUUUAUAGUCGUUGCAGUAGACCACCUAGAGUUAAGUUUUCCAUCUCUUUAUGUGCUGCUUUUUAAAAGAAAUGUAAGAAGCUUGUUAGUCUUGGAUCCUGAGUAGCAAGGCAAACCAAAGCACAGAAAACCAGCUGGAUUUUUCCCUGUGCAUGGUUUGAAGAGUCAGUCCUACACAAUUCCUGACACAAUGCAACCUGCAGCUGCCUGGAGAAAGAACAAUUCAAUGUCACUAAAAAUCUGUUGUAUGUAUAAUGAAAUUUUGUUCUGUAACUGAUAAUAUUAAUGUAGUUUGUCUGGUUUUAGAGAAUUAGUAGGUGAAUCUCAAGCAUUCAAAAAGUUCAGUGGACAAGGUCCAUUUUGGGUGUCUUAACUGGCAAGAAGCAUCAUGUCUCCUUGCAGUUUUCCAGGUUAUUUUAUGUAGAGGUGACAGCUUUGCUCUCUGCUCAGUCAGAAUUAGUGUGCUUUUCUUUUUGGGUAAGUGAUUUAUAACAUACUGCUAGUUUGUAUAGGAUCUAUUCAGAAAAAUGACCUGUGAAUUUUAAAGCAUAGGAAGAUUGUUGACAAGGGUUUCAAUGGGUUUUUUCCCCCAAUAAUCUGACAUGUGCAGAGCAUUUAGAGGUGCGUGGUUAGUGUGGUUACAAACUAAAAAGUGCUGUUCAUUUAAUGCUAAUAAAUACUUCAUUUAAAAACUUGAUGUACAUAAUGAGCAUGUGGAAAUAAAGUUAACUUGUAGCACUGGU